rnacentral:rRNA from 1 species
UACGUAGGUGGCGAGCGUUUGUCCGGAUUUACUGGGCGUAAAGAGCGCGCAGGCGGUCGUUCAAGUCGCGUGUGAAAGCCCCCGGCUCAACUGGGGAGGGUCACGCGAUACUGAUCGACUCGAAGGCAGGAGAGGGAAGUGGAAUUCCCCGGUGUAGUGGUGAAAUGCGUAGAUAUCGGGAGGAACACCAGUGGCGAAGGGCGACUUCCUGGCCUGUUCUUGACUGCGUGA